rnacentral:lncRNA from 1 species
GGUAUGCUGGCCAGUCCCAGCCCAGUAUGUCUGGGCCAUGUCCCAGCCCAGGUAUGUCCGGGCCAUGUCCCAGCCCAGGUAUGUCUGGGCCAUGUCCCAGCCCAGGUAUGUCUGGGCCAUGUCCCAGCCCAGGUAUGUCUGGGCCAUGUCCCAGCCCAGGUAUGUCUGGGCCAUGUCCCAGCCCAGGGUGAUCUUGAAAUAUCAAAUCUCUCUUUCCUUUAA